rnacentral:rRNA from 1 species
AGCGGACGCUGGCGGCAGGCCUAACACAUGCAAGUCGAGCGAAGUCUUCGGACUUAGUGGCGGACGGGUGAGUAACACGUGGGAACGUGCCUUUAGGUUCGGAAUAACUCAGGGAAACUUGUGCUAAUACCGAAUGUGCCCUUCGGGGGAAAGAUUUAUCGCCUUUAGAGCGGCCCGCGUCUGAUUAGCUAGUUGGUGAGGUAAAGGCUCACCAAGGCGACGAUCAGUAGCUGGUCUGAGAGGAUGAUCAGCCACAUUGGGACUGAGACACGGCCCAAACUCCUACGGGAGGCAGCAGUGGGGAAUCUUGCGCAAUGGGCGAAAGCCUGACGCAGCCAUGCCGCGUGAAUGAUGAAGGUCUUAGGAUUGUAAAAUUCUUUCACCGGGGACGAUAAUGACGGUACCCGGAGAAGAAGCCCCGGCUAACUUCGUGCCAGCAGCCGCCGUAAAAC